UUAAAAUAAUGGUGUCCAUACAGGUAGGAU
rnacentral:piRNA from 1 species